GACGAACGCUGGCGGCGUGCUUAACACAUGCAAGUCGAACGGAAAGGCCCUGCUUGCAGGGUGCUCGAGUGGCGAACGGGUGAGUAACACGUGGGUGAUCUGCCCCUUACUUUGGGAUAAGCCUGGGAAACUGGGUCUAAUACUGGCUAGGACCAUGCUUUAGGUGGUGUGGUGGAAAGAUUAGUUUCGGUAAGGGAUGAGCUCGCGGCCUAUCAGCUUGUUGGUGGGGUAAUGGCCUACUAAGGCGUCGACGGGUAGCCGGCCUGAGAGGGUGGACGGCAACAUUGGGACUGAGAUACGGCGCAGACUCCUGCGGGAGGCAGCAGUGGGGAAUAGUGCAAAAUGGGCGCAAGCCUGAUGCAGCGACGCCGCGUGGGGGAUGACGGCCUUCGGGUUGUAAACUCCUUGCAGCCAUGACGAAGCCCUUGUGGUGACGGUAGUGGUAGAAGAAGCACCGGCUAACUACGUG
rnacentral:rRNA from 1 species